GCUUACCAUGCUCAGAGCAUGCGCAAAGCACUGUCAACUGGAAUUUUGUAGUAGAGCUACCUGCAGGACCUCCAAAGCAAAACACUGGGGGAGUUGGUUGGUAACACUUCUGUCAUUGAACAUGGAGAAAUUCAGCUGACGUCUAACUAGAUUCUUCACCUACUAACCAGAGUUCAUGGUACUGGAAGGCAGUCUGUACUGGAGAGAAAGGGUUUCCCUGGAUUUCCUGGAAUGCUGGGGCAGAAAGUAAGUGUCUAGAAGUAGAGAUGACAGAUCUUAGGUCCUCCAAACAGCAAAUGGAGCCUCCUUUUGGUCCUUCAGGCAG